GAUGAACGCUGGCGGCGUGCCUAAUACAUGCAAGUCGAGCGAACGGACGAGAAGCUUGCUUCUCUGAUGUUAGCGGCGGACGGGUGAGUAACACGUGGAUAACCUACCUAUAAGACUGGGAUAACUUCGGGAAACCGGAGCUAAUACCGGAUGAUAUUUUGAACCGCAUUGUUCAAAAGUGAAAGACGGUCUUGCUGUCACUUAUAGAUGGAUCCGCGCUGCAUUAGCUAGUUGGUAAGGUAACGGCUUACCAAGGCAACGAUGCAUAGCCGACCUGAGAGGGUGAUAGGCCACACGGGAACUGAGACACGGUCCAGACUCCUAAGGGAGGCAGCAGUAGGGAAUCUUCCGCAAUGGGCGAAAGCCUGACGGAGCAACGCCGCGUGAGUGAUGAAGGUCUUCGGAUCGUAAAACUCUGUUAUUAGGGAAGAACAGAUGUGUAAGUAAAUGUGCACAUCGUGACGGUACCUAAUCAGAAAGCCACGGCUAACUACGUG
rnacentral:rRNA from 1 species